GACGAACGCUGGCGGCGUGCCUAAUACAUGCAAGUUGAGCGAUGAAGAUUGGUUUUUGCCCCGAUUUGAAGAGCAGCGAACGGGUGAGUCACGCGUGGGGGAUCGGCCGUUGAGCGUGGGACACCGUUUGGAAACGAAUGAUAGUAUCCCAUAACAACUUUAAACAUAAGUUUUUAGGUUGAAAGAUCCAUUUGCUUCACUCAAAUCUGAUCCCGAGGCUUAUGAGGUAGUUGGUGAGGAAAAGGCCCACCAAUGCGAAGGUACCUAGCCUGCCGGAGCGGGGGGUUCGCCACAUUGGGACCGGGACACGGCCCAAGACUCUACGGGAGGCAGCAGUAGGGAAUCUUCGGCAAUGGACGAAAGGCUGAACGAGGAACGCCGCGGGAUGGAAGAAGGGUCUCGGAUCGUAAAAGCCUGUUGGUAGGGAAGAACGUGGGGGAGGGUGGAAAGCUCCUGAAGUGACGGUAACUACACAGAAAGCGACGGCUAACUACGUG
rnacentral:rRNA from 1 species